UACCUACUUCCUCCGUCCGAAAAAUCUUGUCCUUCAAAUGGAUGUAUCUAGCACCAAGUUAAUGCUAGAUAUAUCCAUUUAAGAGAUAAGUUUGGGACAAAUUUUUUCAGACGGAGGGAGUAGGAU
rfam:Triticum aestivum genome assembly, contig: Triticum_aestivum_CS42_TGACv1_scaffold_289699_4AL